CAAAACUUCAAAACUAUGACGCAAAGUAAAACUUUUCUCUUGGGCAAAGAUGGAAAAAGAGAAAUAAGACCCCUGAAAGUCUAUAAGAAAGUGAUUAAAUAGUAUGCAUUAUGGUACUUAUGAUGUCAAUGGAACAGCUGCUUGGAAAGAUAUAAUAAAACUCAAACAAAGGAACUUCCUUUGGACAAAUGGAGUUAUGGACCCAGAUUUUUCUAAGGGGGCAGCAGAGGUGCCAACCAACUAAUGGACCUGAAUGUAGACAAUGCCAAUACCUGGGGAGAGAAGGUGCCUGAGUGAGAAACAGACACAGAGAGGGUGCUGGCUGGACAUACACUCCUGAAAAGUCUGAAGGACAUGUACUCUGGCUUGAGAAGUCAGGCUUGGCAGUUGUGGCUUCCAGAGUCGGCUGGAUCUGAAAGUGCUCAGACUAAGGCCGGCAGUCUGUUUGAAUUCCUGCUCCACUGCCUACAUCCA